rnacentral:rRNA from 1 species
UCAUGUGGGAAACAUUGCAA